GAUGAACGCUGGCGGCGCGCCUAACACAUGCAAGUCGAACGAUUAAAGCACCUUCGGGUGUGUAUAAAGUGGCGAACGGCUGAGUAACACGUGGGCAACCUGCCCCUUUCAUUGGGAUAGCCACGGGAAACCGUGGAUAAUACCGAAUACUUCGAGACUUCCGCAUGGAAGACUCGAGAAAGCUCCGGCGGCGUGGGAUGGGCCCGCGGCCUGUUAGCUUGUUGGUGGGGUAACGGCCUACCAAGGCAAUGAGGGGUAGCUGGGUUGAGAGACCGACCAGCCAGAUUGGGACUGAGACACGGCCCAGACUCCUACGGGAGGCAGCAGUGGGGAAUCUUGCACAGUGGGCGAAAGCCUGAUGCAGCGACGCCGCGUGCGGGAUGAAGGCCUUCGGGUUGUAAACCGCUUUCAGCAGGGACGAGGCGAAAGUGACGGUACCUGCAGAAGAAGCCCCGGCUAACUACGUG
rnacentral:rRNA from 1 species